GCCAGGGCAUCAAACUGCUCCGGUCGAACUUGAGGCGCUGACUCGGCCGGAGGUGGUGAGUUCCGAACGGAACGUUCUGGACUUGGUGGAGGACGUCGAGAGGCAUUGGAAGCCCCUUUGCUUCUUAGCUUCAUGGCAGCGAACUCGGGCCCUUCCUCUAGCGCCAACUGUUGCUGGAAAUUGGACCCGGGGGCCGCCACGAAGCCAGGGGAAGGAGGGGCUCCGCCGCAGGGACAGUGGAUGACCGUGCGCCGGCUGGUGGCGUCCUCCUGGAGGGGUGCAAGUCCGCCGUAGGAGCGGUGGUCGAUGGCGUGCCGGCGGGUGGCGUCCUCCUG
rnacentral:lncRNA from 1 species